rnacentral:rRNA from 1 species
UACGUAGGGCGCAAGCGUUAUCCGGAAUUAUUGGGCGUAAAGAGCUCGUAGGCGGUUUGUCGCGUCGGAUGUGAAAAUCCAGGGCUCAACCCUGGACCUGCAUUCGAUACGGGCAGACUAGAGUUCGGUAGGGGAGACUGGAAUUCCUGGUGUAGCGGUGAAAUGCGCAGAUAUCAGGAGGAACACCGGUGGCGAAGGCGGGUCUCUGGGCCGAUACUGACGCUGAGGAGCGAAAGCGUGGGGAGCGAACAGG